rnacentral:rRNA from 1 species
GAUGAACGCUGGCGGCGUGCCUAAUACAUGCAAGUCGAGCGAACAGACGAUGAGCUUGCUCCUCUGACGUUGGCGGCGGACGGGUGAGUAACACGUGGAUAACCUACCUCUAAGACUGGGAUAACUUCGGGAAACCGGAGCUAAUACCGGAUCAUAUAUUGAACCGCAUGGUUCAAUAGUGAAAGACGGUUUUGCUGUCACUUAUAGAUGGAUCCGCGCCGCAUUAGCUAGUUGGUAAGGUAACGGCUUACCAAGGCAACGAUGCGUAGCCGACCUGAGAGGGUGAUCGGCCACACUGGAACUGAGACACGGUCCAGACUCCUACGGGAGGCAGCAGUAGGGAAUCUUCCGCAAUGGGCGAAAGCUUGACGGAGCAACGCCGCGUGAGUGAUGAAGGUCUUCGGAUCGUAAAGCUCUGUUAUUAGGGAAGAACAAAUGUGUAAGUAACUAUGGACGUCUUGACGGUACCUAAUGAGAAAGCACCGGCUAACUACGUG